rnacentral:rRNA from 1 species
AUUGAACGCUGGCGGCAGGCCUAACACAUGCAAGUCGAGCGGAGCGGCGGACGGGUGAGUAAUGCCUAGGAAUCUGCCUGGUAGUGGGGGAUAACGUCCGGAAACGGGCGCUAAUACCGCAUACUAUCAGAUGAGCCUAGGUCGGAUUAGCUAGUUGGUGGGGUAAAGGCCUACCAAGGCGACGAUCCGUAACUGGUCUGAGAGGAUGAUCAGUCACACUGGAACUGAGAAACGGUCCAGACUCCUACGGUAGGCAGCAGUGGGGAAUAUGGGAAAAUGGGCGAAAGCCUGAUGCAGCCAUGCCGCGUGUGUGAAGAAGGCCUUCGGGUUGUAAAGCACUUUCAGCGGGGAGGCGUUACCAGCAGAAGAAGCACCGGCUAACUCCGUGCCAGCAGCCGCGGUAAUUC